CUGAGUACGACGGAGCACGUGAAAUUCCGUCGGAAUCUGGGAGGACCAUCUCCUAAGGCUAAAUACUCUCUAGUGACCGAUAGUGAACCAGUACCGUGAGGGAAAGGUGAAAAGUACCCCGGAAGGGGAGUGAAAGAGAACUUGAAACCGUGUGCUUACAAGUAGUCAGAGCCCGUUAAUGGGUGAUGGCGUGCCUUUUGUAGAAUGAACCGGCGAGUUACGAUCUGAUGCAAGGUUAAGCAGAAAAUGUGGAGCCGUAGCGAAAGCGAGUCUGAAUAGGGCGAAUGAGUAUUUGGUCGUAGACCCGAAACCAGGUGAUCUACCCUUGGUCAGGUUGAAGUUCAGGUAACACUGAAUGGAGGACCGAACCGACUUACGUUGAAAAGUGAGCGGAUGAACUGAGGGUAGCGGAGAAAUUCCAAUCGAACUUGGAGAUAGCUGGUUCUCUCCGAAAUAGCUUUAGGGCUAGCCUCAAGUGAUGAUUAUUGGAGGUAGAGCACUGUUUGGACGAGGGGCCCCUCUCGGGUUACCGAAUUCAGACAAACUCCGAAUGCCAAAUAAUUUAACUUGGGAGUCAGAAUGUGGGUGAUAAGGUCCAUAUUCGAAAG
rnacentral:rRNA from 1 species